rnacentral:rRNA from 1 species
GUGGAUUAGAUACCCUGGUAGUCCACGCCGUAAACGAUGGGCGCUAGGUGUGGGAGGUCAUCGACUCCUUCCGUGCCGCAGCUAACGCAUUAAGCGCCCCGCCUGGGGAGUACGGCCGCAAGGCUAAAACUCAAAGGAAUUGACGGGGGCCCGCACAAGCGGCGGAGCAUGUUGCUUAAUUCGACGCGACGCGAAGAACCUUACCAGGGCUUGACAUGUAGGGAAAAGCCGUGGAGACACGGUGUCCGCAAGGGCCCUACACAGGUGUUGCACGGUCGUCGCCAACU